CAUCGCCUACCAAAUCCUGUCAAACUCCGAAUGCUACUACUUGUUUCAUAGCAGUGAGGGCAUGGGUGCUAAGGUCCAUGUCCGAGAGGGAAAGAACCCAGACCAUCUGCUAAGGUCCCCAAAUGUAUACUAAGUUGAUCAAACGUGGUCAGACUGCUUAGACAGCUAGGAUGUUGGCUUGGAAGCAGCCAUUCAUUUAAAGAGUGCGUAACAGCUCACUAGUCGAGCGGUCCGGCGUGGAUAAUAAUCGGGCAUAAGUAUACUACCGAAGCAAUGGACAUGAAAAUGUGGUAGGGGAGCAUUCUAGUUGCGCCGAAGGUGAAUCGUGAGGUUUGCUGGAGCGGCUAGAAAAGAAAAUGUAGGAAUGAGUAACGAUAAAGCGGGUGAGAAACCCGCUCGCCGAAAAUCUAAGGUUUCCUCAGCUAUGCUAAUCAGCUGAGGGUUAGUCGCGACCUAAGGCGAACCCGAACGGGGUAGUCGAUGGACAACAGGUUAAUAUUCCUGUACUUGUUUAUACUGCGAUGGGGUGACGAUGUACUGAAAGCACCGCGCACUGACGGAAUAGUGCGUUGAAGACUGUAUCUAUAGGACCUGUAGGCAAAUCCGCAGGACCUGGAGAAGGUCGAUAGUACCGAGAGUCUUCGGACAAUCGGAUAGUGUGCCUAAAAACAUCCAAGAAAAACCUCUAAGCUUCAGGUAUAAACAACGCGUACCGUAAACCGACACAGGUAGAUGGGAUGAGAAUUCUAAGGCGCUCGAGUGAUUCAUGGCUAAGGAACUAGGCAAAAUAGUCCCGUAACUUCGGGAGAAGGGACGCCCCCUUAUGGGGGGCCGCAGUGAAAAGGCCCAGGCGACUGUUUAUCAAAAACACAGGACUCUGCUAAAUCGAAAGAUGAUGUAUAGGGUCUGACACCUGCCCGGUGCUGGAAGGUUAAGAGGAGAUGUUAGCUUCGGCGAAGCAUUGAAUUGAAGCCCCAGUAAACGGCGGCCGUAACUAUAACGGUCCUAAGGUAGCGAAAUUCCUUGUCGGGUAAGUUCCGACCUGCACGAAUGGUGUAACGAUCUGGGCACUGUCUCAGCCAUGAGCUCGGUGAAAUUGUAGUAUCGGUGAAGAUGCCGAUUACCCGCAGCGGGACGAAAAGACCCCGUGAACCUUCACUACAACUUUGUAUUGACAUUGGACAAGAGAUGUGUAGGAUAGGUGGGAGACUUUGAAGCGUUGUCGCUAGGCAGCGUGGAGUCAACCUUGAAAUACCACCCUUCGCUUGUUUGAUGCCUAACCCCGCAAGGGGGACAGUGCAUGGUGGGUAGUUUGACUGGGGUGGUCGCCUCCAAAAGAGUAACGGAGGCUUUCAAAGGUAUCCUCAGUACGCUUGGUAACCGUACGUAGAGUGCAAUGGCACAAGGAUGCUUGACUGUGAGACUAACAAGUCGAGCAGGUACGAAAGUAGGACAUAGUGAUCCGGUGGUUCCGCAUGGAAGGGCCAUCGCUCAAAGGAUAAAAGGUACUCCGGGGAUAACAGGCUGAUCUCCCCCAAGAGCUCACAUCGACGGGGGGGUUUGGCACCUCGAUGUCGGCUCGUCACAUCCUGGGGCUGGAGAAGGUCCCAAGGGUUGGGCUGUUCGCCCAUUAAAGUGGCACGCGAGCUGGGUUCAGAACGUCGCGAGACAGUUCGGUCUCUAUCUGCUGUGGGCGUUGGAAAUUUGAGAGGAGCUGACUUUAGUACGAGAGGACCGAGUUGGACAGCCCUCUAGUGUACCUGUUGUUUCGCCAGAAGCAUUGCAGGGUAGCUACGGCUGGUUGGGAUAAGCACUGAAAGCAUAUAAGUGCGAAGCCCACCUCAAGAUGAGAUUUCCCUUAAGGGUCGUUCGAGAUGAGGACGUUGAUAGGCUUCAGGUGUAAAGGCAGUAAUGUCAUAGCCGAGAAGUACUAAUUACCCGUGGCUUUCUAAGA
rnacentral:rRNA from 1 species